UGGCAACAAAAACCUAACCAUGAUAUUUUGGGUUAUUUUGGGCUUCUUUAAACAAGGAAGCAAGUUAGAAUGGGUUGGGGAUUUAGUCAAAAUGGGUUUUAAAAUAUCCAUCUAAAUUUUAACAUGGGCCAAGAUGGGUUUUUAACUCUCUAAUCCUAAAACACGCAUCAGACUUUUCUUUCUAUUUCUCCUUCGGAUCUGAACAAACAUCUUAUGCCUGAUCCUGCUGAUCAUUGAUUUACACUUUACUUCAUCAUGAGAAUCGUACCGGUUUGACUUUUGAAUUUGUCAACAAAUCAAUGGAGAACUACCUGUGACAUCAAUCCUCAAAAAGCACUGAACCUUUUUUUAAUUUUUUUUAAUUUUUUUAUUUUUUUAAUUUUUUAUUUUUUUUUAUUUUUUAAAUAUUUUUUUAAUUUUCUGAUUUUUUUAUUUUAAAAAAAAAUAUUUUUUUAUUUUUUUGAUUUUUUAAUUUUUUUGGAUUUUUUUAUUUAUUUAUAUUUUUAGCCUAUCAUGCCUAAAUCCAUCUCGACCUAAACUCAUCUUGACCUAAACCCAUCCUAACACAUUUCUUAAUAAACUCAUUCUAACCCAAACCUAUUCUAACCCAUACCCAUCCUAACCUAUUACCCAAACCUACCCAACCCACCCAUUUUGCCACCUCUAGUUUUACAUUGACGGUAAGUAACAUCCAAGUUAACAGAGGUUUCAAGGCAGUUUAUUCAGAUUGAUCAUGUACACGUAUAGUUUAUUAUGAGAUUACCCCUUAUUGAUUUAUUUAUAUACUAGUUUAUUGUCCUGUGUAAUACACGGGAUGAAUCAUAAUUAUAAUGUGAAAUAAAAAAAAAUAUGUUCAUAAUAUGAUCUAAGUAUAUAUAAUAUAGAGUAAUAUGCAGACUAAACAUGAAAUAAAUAUUGAAGUUUGUAUAGCCAUUCAUAAUAAUAUGAUCUGUUAAUUGUUUUAGGAUUUGUCAUAGGAACUUAAAAUUUUGUACCACUACUAAUAUUUAUUGUGACAUUUUCUUGUUCAAAGGUAACGUGUCUGAUUUUAUCUGAUAAUAGAUUAUUCUGACGAGUUAAUGUUGGCAUAAUAUUAUAUUUUCUACCAUCCAAAUAUAGUUUUCUCACUUUCGCUAUCAUUAACAUUAAUAUAAGGUAUGCUCGUAUUCAAAGCUAUAAACCAAUAUGAAUUGUACGAAAUAAUUACUUUUAUCGCAAUUAGUAAGGAAACCAAUAAAAACUAUUGAUAAUGUAAUAUGUCUUAUACCAUUUGAGAGGUAUGAAAAGGGACUUCUAAAGAGAUAAACGUAAAGUAAAUGAAUAGACAAAAAUUAAAUUAAUAAAACCAGGGUGGGGCUCGGCUACAAAGUCUAUUUUUCCUACAAAGUGUACAAAGUCAUAAAACACCAAAAUUUCAGCCAUAAAACACACUCAAAACCCACAAAUAAUAUAGUGGAGAUCACUAAAAUACAAUAUCCAAACCCCUAACAGUCCUUAAAACUUCAAACACACCAUCGUACAACUAUGAAUAUAAAACACAACAUGGUAAUCAAUAUAAAACACACUAAUGUUAGUCAUUCGAUAAUCAAAGCCUUAUCAUCCAAAACACAACACAAAACCUACAAAUAUAGUGUUUUAGUAAUUCUUCACUAUGUUAUUUGUGGUUUUUGAGUGUGUUUUAUGGUUGACAUUAUGGUGUUUUAUGACUUUUUACACUUUUUAGGAAAAAUAGACUUUGUAGCCAACUCCCACCCUAUAAAACCAAUUAACUAUAGUUGAGAAAAUACUAUGUAUAGUGUAAUACUUUACAUAUACAAUUGAACCAAUGAAACAUAUAUAUAAGUGAAAAAAUAAAAAUAAAGACAUGAGACACCAUACGACAACUAAGUAAAUCUAAAUUUAAAAAAAAAAGUUAUGACAUUCCAAAUGUGAAGAUACAUUUCACAGACCUCUACAUCUUAGUUACAAUAGGAAAAAAUAUGUAUGUUAAGAGUUUACGUUGUUCUAAAACACAUAUAUCUAACUUAUCUAAAAAUACAUGAUGUUUUCUAUGUGACAUAGAUAAUAUGCAUAUUACUUAUUUGACACGGUAAACUUAUCUAAAAAAACAUAAUGUUUUCUAUGUAACAUAGAUAAUAUGCAUAGCAUAUGAAGAGUAAAAAAACGUACCUAGUAUUUAGAAUGAAGUGGAGUAUAAUUCUAAAUACUUGAUGUAAUAUAUUGAAUAUUAAAUAAUGAUUUUUUAUAUUCUUGACAAAACUUUAAUUAUCACAAAAUCUGAUUUGAUUCUAGAAGGGAAAGUAAAACUUACGAAAUUGAUUAAAUGGUUACUAAUUUUAUGGGUUUUUGUUUAAUAAUUUCAAAUCAAAAUUAAAUCCAUAAAUUAUCUAUCUAUUUAUAAUCAAACCUUAUGAAUACUGUUUGGGGUAAUUUUUGUAAUUUAACACCUUCCUUGCUACCUGUUGUGUACAUUUAUAUAAUUUAAAAACUAAAUUAUAUAAAUGUAAUACUAUAUUAUAAACUAAAAAUUGUAAUAAAAAAUGUUAAAUGGCCACUUGAGUUUACAUUGGAUGUCACAUUUCAUACCAACCAAUGAGUUAUUAUAUGGGUAAGUUUGUUUGUUUGUUUAAUUUGUGUAUUAUUGUGCUAGCGAUUUACAACUCGAAAAAUGUUAUAGUGUUAAGUUAAAUUAUAAAAGUUGCAUCUCUUUAUAACCAAUAUAUCUAUUUUAUGUUUAUAUUAUUUUAUUCAUUUUAUAACCAAUAUAUCUAUGUUAUGUUUAUAUUAUUUUAUUCAAUAAAUAUGGUUACUUCAAUUGAAAUAAAAUUGUUUACUAAUAUAUUCACUUUAUAACCAAUAUCUAUGUUAUGUUUAUAUUAUUUUAUUCAAUAAAAAUAAAUAUGGUUACUUCAAUUGAAAUAAAUUUGUUUACUAAUAUAAAAUUUGCUAUCUCUUUUUAUUUUACGUUAUUACCAAACCUAAUGAAAGAUUUAAAUGUUAUAUUCCCAACAUAAAUACCUAUUACAUAUAAUCAUAUUUUACUAUUAUUUAUAAUUAUAAUUUCAAAAAUUUAGAGUGUUCAGAUAGAGACAAUAAAAACAAUGAUAUAUUUGAAGUCUUUGCUUGCAAUAAUGAAACAUGACUAACAAAAACAUUUAUACCGAAUUAAUUACUUUGGAAAGACGAUAAACACAGGAUUGUUUAGAUUUAAAACAUAUUUUUUAGACUUUAGAUUUACAAUGAAAAAAAAUUCUAAUAUAAUAUUUAAAUCUUUUUUAUUUAAAAUUUAAAAUUUAUCUAUAAAUUAUUGAUGCCCUCAUCGAAUGUUCCAAAUCAGAUUUCUUUUAUUAUAUAGUAUAGAUAUAGAUAUUUAAAGGCAGACAUAUAAGUUAUUGUAAAAAAAUACAUUAACAAUUUUAUAUAAUUGACAAAAAUUCAUAGACGCUGAAAACAAGAAAAUGUAAAACUCUUGGUACAUGCUCCUGCGAACAUGCUUUCAGUUAUUUCACCGAUUCUCAACCUCUCUAAAUAUUGGUGGGUGUGCAAACUACAAACACUACCAAUAAUUUGGGAAGGGUUUGAAAUUUUCUCAAUGUAUUUUUUUUUUUUUUUUUGUAAUGAACGACAUAAAAAUUUUAUUAAUUAUAGCAAGCUGCUACACAUCAUAGUUACAAAAUACACCAAUCAAAACAAACGAGUUUGUUGGAAAUUUAGUGAAAAUGAGUUUUUCACUAAAUAUUUUGAAUAUCAAUAAUAUUUAUAUAUGUGUUGUAUAAAUAAUUAUUUAUGGGAUUGUGUUCAAACUAUGUCUAAAUAGAGCUAAGAUGAAUGAGAUAUCGAAGCUUGAAGUUGUAUGUUUGGCACAAACAAAUAUGAAUAAAAUGGAUUAGUUUUGUCAACUUGUCCCACAUAGGUGGGAUGACAACUCAAAGUGGUAUAUAAGGAGGAGCAUUCCUUGUAAAUUGUUUUCCUUAAGGCAAACACUAGUGGUGACCAAAGGGUGAUGUCACACCCCCAAAAUCCACCAUGCGGAGUAUCACCGCUUGGAGGCGUGACAUGACCAGGAUCGAGCCACCAAUCAUAUUGAACAACAUAAUUAAGUAAAUAAAACCAACCACAAUAUAAUUGGUGACCUAAAGAAGGUAACCGACUUUAAGUUAACAACGGAAGCAUAAAACGUAAGUCUAAAACAUAAGUUCCAUAGUUCAUAGUCAUAGGAGCUAAGCGCACUCAAGGUGCAAAGUGCGAGCCUUUAUAUUUUAUUUCAUUACUGUUAACUUUCAUCAUAUUCAGAUUUUUUUUAAUAUCAUCGAUGCUCAUGAUUUUGAGUGAUUGUAUGAGCUUAUGAUGAACCGAAUAAACAAGAAAGGUAUUGAAUUAGUUGUUUUUUUAUCAACGUGAAUUGCUAUUAUAAUGUUUAAUAAACUGAUCUUUGUAGCUAACGAGGCCAUAUUACAAUUUAUUGCUAUUUUUUAACCUAUGAUUUUUUAAGGUGGAUUAACCAACGGUUAUAAAAACCACAUCGCAGAAAAAGAACUAACCGAUGAGACUUACAGUCUGGAUAAUGCUACUGCAAUGCAUAAUAAUAAAGUUGUUCAUCUACAUCCACUAGAGUCUCUCUUCUAUGGUUGCUGUAGUUUAUUCCAAUGAUAUCAAGUUGCAGCCGGAAACAUGGUAGCUGGGUGGGAAUAAAAUCGCUCCAACGUUUGUUCACCUUUAAUAACUUGAUAUAUCUCUAGGUCUUGCUGGAGUUCCAGCUGUGGUUGACCUUGCCUGUAUGGAAAAUGCCAUGAGCAAGCUUGGUGGAGACUCUAAGAAGACCAACCCAUUGGUCAAACCUUCAUGCUUUCACUAAAGUAGAAUCCGAAUACUUAUCAAAGUGCAUUCAAGAUGGUGGAACCGAAUAUGUAACAUUAUUUGUGGACACACAAUAGUUUGGUAUUUAGCGACAUUUAGUUCAUGUUUGCUUUGGCUUUGCUUAUAUCACAUAUGGGUUAUAUUAUACUAUGCACAUAUUUACUUAAUAUUUUAUCUUUUGGUAUUCAGUUCGUACGUUUUGUACGUUAAAUUUAUUUGUAUUUGAUCUUUUGUCAAAUCCGAUAUGAGUUUGUAGUUUCAAAGAGGAAAGAUUGGAUAAAGAUGAAGGCUUGAAACGGCAUCUUAGGUUGUUAGUUUCAAGACUUUAGGGUGCUUAAGAUGCUGAUUGCUUGCUGAAAGGGCACUUUCCAAGGCUUCCAAUGAUGAAUCUGAACAAGUUGUCAAAAAGGUUUUGUUUUCAUACUCGCAUAUUUUGUUCGUGUUAUGUUUUAAUUUGUUUCGAUCCCUAUUCAUGAUUAAUAUCCUGUUUUCAUACAUUGAAAAGUGUUUGUAUGUGGUUUGUUCUUUAGCCUGCAACUUUGGGUAUGUUUCUUGAAUUUAGAACUUGAUUUAUAAACAUUUACCUUUAGAUAAGGUGUUAACAUAAAUUUUUGACUAUUUGUAGCUAGAUUUUAUGUAUUUUGGUUCCUGCGGAAUGAAAUGGUCAAGACCGGGUUCUCCGGGUUCCGAGGAACCCGACUUCGUACUGAGGCUACUUCAACUUAAAAGAUGAAACAAGGGUUACUAAAUAAAGUUCAAUAAGCAAUCCCAAACAGCCCUCUGAAAGCAUGAUUUUUCUUUCAACAACUUAUAUCAGGAAUUAGUUACUGUCAUUCAAUGGAAAUUUGUCACGGAUAUCUUAAGCUUGAAAAUACACUGUUGGAAGCGCGACUCCUCGUGUUAAAAAUACUUAAAAUAUGUGAUUUUGGGUAUUCAAAGGUCUGCUUGAUAAGCGACGGAAAUGAGAUUUUUGAUGACGAGCGUAUGAAUUCAUUAGAAGAAGCUAAGAAGUUGGCCAUAUCCGACGGAUUGGACAGAGUUGUUCUCGAAGCAAAUGGUAUAUUCAGAAACCCUACAUCAAUAAGAGAGAUUAAAGAAUCAAAUAUUUCCCUCCUUACUUAUGGCAAAUUAAACAGUGUCCCCGAAGCGAUACACGCUCAAUAUCUUAUGGGCGUAAUCGUCGAUUUAGUACAAGAAAUCACAAGUGUAGUUGCGUGUUUCAAAAACGAAGAUGAAGGAGCGGAGGUGAAAGAGAACACAAACAAGAUUGCACCGUCUUUUUUGCUGAAUUUGGUAUCACAAGUGAUGCAGCAUUGAAGUUCGGUACGUUCGAGUUGGGUCGCGUCGGGUCGCGUCGGGUCAUUUGUUUAUUAAAUGUAUCCCGUGUGGGAAUUGAGUUUGGUUAGGAUGAUAAGUAGUGGAGUUUUGUUUUUCUUUAAUUUCUUGACCACUCAAAUGAAGCUGGUUAAAUUUUUCGCAUUUUUAUGUCAUUGAAUGACACUAUUUACUUAAGUUGUUAUUGUUAACAUCUAUGAAGACGUUUUUUAAUU